AACGAACGCUGGCGGCAGGCUUAACACAUGCAAGUCGAACGCAUCGCAAGGUGAGUGGCAGACGGGUGAGUAACGCGUGGGAACAUACCCUUUUCUACGGAAUAGCUCUGGGAAACUGGAAUUAAUACCGUAUACGCCCUACGGGGGAAAGAUUUAUCGGGGAAGGAUUGGCCCGCGUUGGAUUAGCUAGUUGGUGGGGUAAAGGCCUACCAAGGCGACGAUCCAUAGCUGGUCUGAGAGGAUGAUCAGCCACAUUGGGACUGAGACACGGCCCAAACUCCUACGGGAGGCUGCAGUGGGGAAUAUUGGACAAUGGGCGCAAGCCUGAUCCAGCCAUGCCGCGUGAGUGAUGAAGGCCUUAGGGUUGUAAAGCUCUUCCACCGAUGAAGAUAAUGACGGUAGUCGGAGAAGAAGCCCCGGCUAACUUCGUGCCAGCCGCCGCAGCAA
rnacentral:rRNA from 1 species